UUUGUUUUUUCUUGUGUUUCAUGUUUUGUGUGCUCAUUUUGUCGGUUGUGUCCGCCUGUUCGUGUUUACCCUCUUCCCUUGUGUUGACCAAUAAGCUUCCUCCACCCACUCGUGUCUUGUCCAGGUGUUUCUUGUUGUCUUGUCAAGCUCUGUAUAUUUAACUGCCCAUUUUCUUUUUCUUGUCAGUCCAUUGUCCAUGUUGCGGGUUGCUUGUUGGUUUCUUGCUUAUUGCAUUUUUUUCAAAGUCAUGUCAAAUGUCUCGUUUAGGUUAAUGAAGUCAUACUUCGUUAUGUUGAGUAUCUUGGUUGUUACUUUUUUUAGUUGUCAUUAAUUAUUCAAUAUUUUUUAAAUUCCUCAACCCCUGCUUCCCUGCACUUGGGAUCUCCUAGCCUUGCACCCCUGGCUGAUUCACUUCAGUGCAAGUCAUCAAAGUAAGCUCUGUUCAGGCUGUACCCUGCCUCCUGCCCAAUGACAGCUGGAUAGGCUACAGCACUCUUGCGGCCCUUGUGAGGAUACGUGGCUAAGAAAAUGGAUGGAUGUUGUGUUGUGCAAGAUUGGCUCAUGCAGUUAUGCAAGAGAUCGCAUGACUUAAAAACAGGACGUGAUGGAAAAUAUGCAUGAACAAAGGCUUGGUUACAGAUUAAUUCCUACACAAUCACAGCACUGAUUUCUCGGAUUUAUCCUCAUCUGAUGAAGAAAUGGCAUUAGUGGUUGAUCGGGAAGACUGAAGAAUACGUCCAUCCAGAUUUGAACCUGUGGGUGUUCCAGCCAAGUGAUCUUUGGCUUGGUGGAAGUCGGGAGUGUUGGCAUGAUGAUGGUAAAGGCAUAAAAAAUUUCAGUAUUGAGCAAUUUAUUUAUGUGUGACAUGUUAAACCACUUCUAGCUGCACAGCUUGCCUUGCGCCACUUUGUACUUGAACUACUACUGUUACAUGCAGAACUGGCAUUGCUGACUAGUGUGCUUUCCGGCAGUAGUGGCUGUUGUGUCCCUGCUCAGCAAAUUGAUCAAUACUCUUAAAUUAUGACGCGGGUCCUUUGUGAUGCGGAAUUAUCGAAUGUUCUGAGGAGUGCCUAUGUAAAGACAAGAAAGACCGUCAACGGGUCUUAUUCACACUGCACCGCUGCUUUGGGACAAAGUACACUGGUUGGAACAAACUACACGGAUGCCUGCUGCCUUUCGUCUUUGAACAUUUGGACAUUUCUGGAACAUUUGCUAACUUGGAAUAUUCACUGGAAAGAACAUUUGCCUGUUUGUGAACAUUUGUUCAACGUUGAUGCUGGACGUAAAUACUUCUGGCAGAAGACGCAGCGACCAACAGCUCCCUUGUGAUAGGCACAAUGUCAGGCCCUCCAUAUUGCUGGACCACCUCCACUAUUUGCCUCCGAGCAAUCAGUGACUCCUUACUUAGGUAGUCCUCGGUGACCUCCUUGUUUGUGGAGAAGCCUCUUUCCACAGAUGCCUGUCCAUGGGACAGGAGCAGCAGCUGCUUUAUGACGCCCCAUAGCUCCUGGAACUGCUGGCUUUCCUGCUGAUGCAGAGUGGAGUGGAAG